CAGCAGUGGGGAAUAUUGCACAAUGGGCGCAAGUCCUGAUUCUUUCCUCGGAGAUGACCGAGUGUAUGAAGAAGGCCUUCGGGUUGUAAAGUACUUUCAGCGGGGAGGAAGGGAGUAAAGUUAAUACCUUUUUCUUAGUACGUACCCGAUAAGAAGCACCGGGCAAACCCGGUAAUACCGAUG
rnacentral:rRNA from 1 species